UAUGAUGUACGGUUUCCCCUUCUCUCUCUCUCUCUCUCUCUCUCUCUCUCUCUCUCUGUUUUUGGCUUCCGCACUUCACUCUCCCAUCUCCUCGUUUUCUCAACGGCAUCCCUUUUUGUUUUCCCUCAUUUUUUUUUCAGAUUUUUCACUCUCAUCAGAUUCUCUCUCUCCCUCUCUUGCGCUUUCAUUUCCCCUGCAUUUUUUUUACCUUGCUGCGAUUAUGAGAGUUUCCAACUUUCAAAAUUUGGUUUCGUCAUCCACUACACACGUUGGUGGCGAGACUAAUAGAGGUUGAAUUUAAGGCAUAGAUAAUACGCUAUACGAGUCAGAUGAUGUGGAUGGUUGAGCUGAUGAUCAAGAAUGGAAAUUUGUGAAUGUGGAUGUGGAUGGUUCAGAUGAUGGGGAUAGAGGAUUGGAUACUUUAGGAUACUGUUAAUGGAAGGACUUUCUGUUGUUCCUUAGAUUUGUUAUAGUUUUUGGACUUAGUAAGACUUAAGGAUUUUUCAAUUAUUUUUGUUGGGACUAAUGGGAAAUUGUGAACCCUUUGAUUUAUGUUAUUCAUAGAAAUGACUAUAUGGACAUCAUUAUUCGUUAA